GACGAACGCUGGCGGCGUGCUUAACACAUGCAAGUCGAACGGAAAGACGCUGCUUUUGUUUCGUUCUCGAUUGCCGAACGCGUGAGUAACACGUGUGUAUCCUGCCCUUGUCUUUCGGAUAACUCCAGGAAAAUGUGUCUCAUACCGCGUAGAAUCUCUUGAUGCAUGGUGUUCAUUGGAAAGUUUCGGCUGUGUUGUAUGGACUCGCUGCUUAUGAGCUGCUUGGUGUGGUAGUGGCUUACCAGGCCUUCGACGGGUAGCCGGCCUGAGAGGGUGGCCGGCGACAUUGGGACUGCGAUACGGAGCAGAAGCCUACGGUCGGCAGCAGUGGAGAACAUGGCACAGUGGGCGCACGCCUGAUGUAGCAACGCUGCGUGCGGGAUGACGGCUUUCGAGUUGUAAACAGCUUUGGCCUGUGACGAAGAGUGAGUGACGGUAAUGGGUAAAGAAGCAACGGCUAACUACGUG
rnacentral:rRNA from 1 species